rnacentral:rRNA from 1 species
UACAGAGACUGCAAGCGUUAUUCGGAUUCACUGGGCGUAAAGGGCGCGUAGGCGGCCCGCUAAGUCGAACGUGAAAUCCCCGAGCUCAACUCGGGAACUGCGUCCGAUACUGGUGGGCUUGAAUCCGGGAGAGGGAUGCGGAAUUCCAGGUGUAGCGGUGAAAUGCGUAGAUAUCUGGAGGAACACCGGUGGCGAAGGCGGCAUCCUGGACCGGCAUUGACGCUGAGGCGCGAAAGCUAGGGGAGCAAACGGG